rnacentral:rRNA from 1 species
GAUGAACGCUAGCUACAGGCUUAACACAUGCAAGUCGAGGGGCAUCAGGAAGAAAGCUUGCUUUCUUUGCUGGCGACCGGCGCACGGGUGAGUAACACGUAUCCAACCUGCCCUUUACUCGGGGAUAGCCUUUCGAAAGAAAGAUUAAUACCCGAUGGUAUAAUUAUUCCGCAUGGUUUGAUUAUUAAAGGAUUCCGGUAAAGGAUGGGGAUGCGUUCCAUUAGGUUGUUGGUGAGGUAACGGCUCACCAAGCCUUCGAUGGAUAGGGGUUCUGAGAGGAAGGUCCCCCACAUUGGAACUGAGACACGGUCCAAACUCCUACGGGAGGCAGCAGUGAGGAAUAUUGGUCAAUGGGCGCUAGCCUGAACCAGCCAAGUAGCGUGAAGGAUGAAGGCUCUAUGGGUCGUAAACUUCUUUUAUAUUAGAAUAAAGUGCAGUAUGUAUACUGUUUUGUAUGUAUAAUAUGAAUAAGGAUCGGCUAACUCCGUGCCAGCAGCCGCGGUAAUACGGAGGAUCCGAGCGUUAUCCGGAUUUAUUGNGUUUAAAGGGAGCGUNNUGGACUGGUAAGUCAGUUGUGAAAGUUUGCGGCUCAACCGUAAAAUUGCAGUUGAUACUGUCAGUCUUGAG